rnacentral:rRNA from 1 species
GUGCCAGCCGCUGCGGUAAUACGGAGGGUGCAAGCGUUAAUCGGAAUUACUGGGCGUAAAGCGCACGCAGGCGGUCUGACAAGUCGGAUGUGAAAUCCCCGGGCUUAACCCGGGAACUGCAUUCGAAACUGUCAGGCUGGAGUCUUGUAGAGGGGGGUAGAAUUCCAGGUGUAGCGGUGAAAUGCGUAGAGAUCUGGAGGAAUACCGGUGGCGAAGGCGGCCCCCUGGACAAAGACUGACGCUCAGGUGCGAAAGCGUGGGGAGCAAACAGGAUUAGAUACCCUGGUAGUCCACGCUGUAAACGAUGUCGACUUGGAGGUUGUGCCCUUGAGGCGUGGCUUCCGGAGCUAACGCGUUAAGUCGACCGCCUGGGGAGUACGGCCGCAAGGUUAAAACUCAAAUGAAUUGAC